AAGUGAACCUGCGGAAGGAUCAUUAACACGUAUCCAACGUUAAAACAACCCUGUGAACCUUCAAUUUUGCUCGCGUGGCUCCAUCAAAAAAGCAGCAAUCCCUGGUAAAUCAUUGUCGACCAGAUUUUGAGUCAGGGACCUCUGCCGAUGAGAGUUACGCUCGUAGCGAUGCAAGCGACCUGGCACCCCGCCGACAGGUCGCGAUAAUUCCGCUGACCACAAAAAACCGAACAACUGUUAACAAUGGAUAUCUUGGUUCUC
rnacentral:misc_RNA from 1 species